rnacentral:tRNA from 1 species
AUUUAGGUAGAUUAAGAAUAAAUCGUAUCACUGAAGAUGAUAAAAUAAAUUUACAUUUCCUAAAUA